UCUGGCAAUCCUAAAAUUUUGGCAACAGGAAUUGAAGGUUAUAUCAAUUGACAUAGGAAAACAAAAACAUCUUGGUGAAUAAUUUCGUGGAAAUUCCUGAUUUCUCCAAAUUUUCCCGAGUUAUUAAGUUUUUAAGUUAAUACGUGACUGGAGACACUUGCAAUAGGAAGACCACGUCAGUUCCACGUUCCGCCGUUUCUCAGCAAAACCGGUUGUCCUCGAGAAACUUCUUUGGAGACACACCACUGAAAAUUCCCCAUCCCGACAGAUUAAGGUUUAUCGGAUGAACAGGACCCCGAAUCCAGAAGGAAUCGUGUCUGCUAAGACAUCCGAACAUUGUGGGCUUCAGGAGGGCAUAUAAACGCGCCAAGAUGAGCGAAAUAUCCUUGCCCUGGAGAUAUGUGAUUCUUCUAUAGGUGAUCUUCUGGAGAAAAGAGAUUGUAGAUUAGAUAGAAUACGUGCUAUAUUGAAAGAAAUUAACAGAUCCCUUUUGGAUAUUGCAUCGGCAUAUAGGAUGAGAAUAUUCACGAGGAUAAAGUCAGAUGGUAAAGAAGAGUGUUGAAAUGUGUAAACUUAAUGAGCAUCCUGAGCAGAAGUAAGUGAUCUCUCAGCUCAAGUCUUUGAUGAGGAGUACUCUCUGAUUGGUAGUGCAAGUGAUAUCUUCAGUUACGAACUGGUGAUCUAUCUACGAAACUGGUGCUUUGUUGGUGCUUUUGCAUAUCUUCGCAAUGGAUCUCAAGAUUAGUGAAUUUGGUAUGCGAGUGGGAUAUCACCCUACUGCCGGAAACCAUUGAGCUCUCCGUGGAAUAUAAUGAUUUCGUUGGAAUUUCCUGCAUGCACUGUUGACCCUCCGCAAGAUCGCCGAACAACACAGUUUAUCCAAAAAAUGCAUUAUAUUUAGUACAUUUUUAGUUUAUUGAAUUAUUAACAAAAUUCUCCUUAAUGCACUUAUUUUCCUCCAUGCGGUUAUUUCAUCUCCAUCUCCUCCUUCCUGUGGAAUUCUGUGGUCCUGUGAAUAGUGUCGUGAUUCCAAACUUCUGCACUGUUUUGAGGAACUUGGGGGGCUCGGUAACAGUUUAAGGACUGUUUGGGUCUGGCAUUUUAUAUGAUAAAUUUGUAGAGCAACCGAUAAGUCAAGAGCUUCAUCAUCAUCUCUAUAAUCUUCGCCCUUGUCUCCUCUGUGACACCUCAUCUUCUUCAUUGCUCUCUUAGACCACUACUUCAUCUUGUCGACUAACCUCUUCAACUAUCGCAUCUUCAGUACUUGCCUCCUGCAUCAUUUCGGGAUUGGUUUGCGAAUUAUCGCAUCUUGCGGAACGAUUUUUGCAAAAGAAUCUGUGGAAGAAAUUAACAAGGAAGCGGUAUUCCAAAGGCUGAAGCGUCCUUAAUUCUCAGCCUGCCUUGGAGAAUUUCCUGAAGAGGUGUCAGCAUGAUUGCCUCAUCGGUAGUGCUGCGUUUUCUGCCUUUUGUUUGUUUUUCUCCAUUUCUGCAUAAAUAAAUGAAAUAGAAUGUU